rnacentral:lncRNA from 1 species
AGGAUUUGAACAUAUGACUCUAUUAAGUCCAGAUUUUUAGAUAUAUUACACUAUUAAAGACUAAGAGAUGAACUAAUUCGAUGCUAUAUGGGAUAAAUGAAAUUUUCUUGCUACAAACACUGGAAAAGUAAUAGUGACAGAUUCGAUAUGUUUAUCAAUGUGGAUUGUUGCUGGUUAAUAGUUUAGAAGUAUAAUCAUCUUCCUUAUAGGAGAUUGUAGUGAUUGCUUUUACAGUGUGAAGUUUCUAUUGUGAAGGGGAUAAAAUGUAGUGCAUGUAGCAGUUGAAACAAUAGCUUCCUAUUGUUUGAGUCUUGCAUUGUUCAUUUGAUAUGGUUUAUAUGUGAUCCUGUAUCAGGUUAGUUAGUUCGAGUUGUGAGGGCUGUAGGGAUAGUGACAUAUUUUGCGAUGGGAUACUUCCUAAUGAGGAGCUUUAUUAGAAAUCUGCAUAAGUAAUCGAGAAAGAAGUAACAAGUUUGGAGGAAUCUCUGAUCUUGAACAGGAACUUGGUCAAUUGUGUGGUU